AAUUUUUAAAGGAAAGAAGUUUAAUUGACUCACAGUUGCACAUGGCCAGGGAGGCCUCACAAUCAUGGCAGAAGGCAAAGGAGAAGCAAGACACAUCUUCCAUGGGGGCAGGCAAGAGAGAGCAUGUGCCGGGGAACUCCCCUUUAUAAAACCAUCAGAUCUCAUGAGACUUAUUCACUACCACAAGAACAGUACAGGGGAAACCACCCCCGUGAUUCAAUGAUCUCCACCUGGCCCCACUCCUGACAUGUGGGGAUCAUUACAAUUCAAGGCAAGAUUUGGGUGGGGACACAGCCCAAUCAUAUCAGGGAUCCUAACCCCGGAGAAAACAAAGGGUCAAGCACUGCUUUUUCUGCAUUGCAUUCACUGUGGGCUUCAGACACAGCAGAGUCAGGAGGACUCCUGUCCUUUGACCUGAGGCGCCCCUCAUCCCCAGUAAGAGCCCGCCACGGACUAGACAUGUUGGGCUACACGGGCCCUGCACCAGGGCAGUCAUCAUCUUUACCAGCACAAAAACUCCCUCGAUGACAGGGCCUCAGCAGGCCCCAGCCUUGACCCUGGCUUUCACGGUCCAUUGGGUUUUGUUAUAAUUUACAAUUUCCACUAGAUGGAUGGUUCCAAGUUCAUUCACUUGUGCCACAAACAUUUAUGGGACCACCUACUGAGUACCGGGUGCUGUGGACGGGGAUGUAUGUGACUCACAACUUCAUCGGGGCAUGGAGAGUCUGUCCACCACCGUCAGGAGCAUCGUGAGGAGUUGAUGCUGUUCUGGGGACUCCACGUGAGAGCCUCCUGGGUCACUGAGG
rnacentral:lncRNA from 10 species